UUCCUCACUCAGAACUGCGCAGCACAAGACACAGGACAGGCUGAGGAGAAGAGCUAAGCAUUCACAAGGCCACUGUCCCCUGCUUUCUGAACAAGGGACCCUGGAUUCUCCUUGUGACUGGACCCUGCAGACCCAGCAGCCAGCAGGGCCUGCAGUCAGGCAGAGAAGCAACCUCCCUGCUGCAGCUUGAGCUGGGUACCUCAGCAACGGGGUCUCAGGAAGGACCCAGCAGACGCACGAGGGGUGGCAUGGUGAGGCACAGUAGGGCGCUAGGAAGAGGAGCAAGCGGGGCGGGCCUGCAGGUGCUGGCAGGGCUCUGCUGGGUGACCUGUCCCCGCGCCGUGACUGCACAGGUCCCGAGCUCUUUUAACAAUGUCUACAUUCACACACUUUCUUCACUUGUGCUAGGGAUUGAGCCCAGGGCCUGGCACAAGCCACGUAAGUGCUUUGCCGCUGGACAGAAGCUUCUUUGGGCCUCUCUCCCCUUGGAGGGGCCUCCCCCACCUCUGGCCUUGGGAGCUCAAAGGUGCUGGGACUGCGUCGUUUCCCACACCUACCAGUUCCCCUCAGGCAGCAGGGUGUCUGCCCACCCCGAUCCCCUAACUCUACCCCUGCCUGGGCUCCCACCACCCAAAGUCCGUCUGCACUCUACCCACCCAGUCCUCCCCUGGCUUCCCAGAGGGGAGAGACCCUGGUGUCUGCUCAGAACCAGGGAGCACAGGGAGUCCGUCCCUAUAGGCAGACUUCCUGCCCGGCUGACCUACGGAGCCCUUCAAUAGCUCGUAGGGGUGCUGGGCAUUGGGCACUGUCGUCCUUGGGCCUGGGGUGCCCACCCUCCCUGACACUCAGGCUGGUCAGAUGAGGUCCUCCUGACAGAUGAGGAAAUACUCUGAGACCCAGUGGGGCCUGGACCCUGACGGUAGCCCAGGGCUGGGCUUCAGCAGGCUGUCCCCAGCAGGGAGAGGGCCUCGGGGGCUAUGGCGUGUGGGGCACAAGUGGGCUUGGGCCUGACCUCUGAUGGGCAGGGACAUACUUGAAAAUAGCCAGACUCAGCCCUGUGUGGCCAACUUCAGUGCCUGCUGUGGCUGGUGAGGAGGUAACAGUGCUGUCACCUGGGAAGUACAGAGGUUUCCUGGGAACCCAUUUGUCAUGCAAAUGUGCCUCCUGGCCCUGUCUGUCCAGGUGGACCUGGCUGGUUGCCUCCCAGAGCCCCCCCCAGCUGAAGAACAUUCCCUCAUUAACAGGGCACAGCUCCUGGCCUGGCUGGGACUUGGCCCUGCCCAGCUGGGGGUGGGGGCGCACCGUGGCUGUGGCUGAGCCUCAGUACCCAGCCUGGCCCCUGCCAGCCGCAUCCCGGGCCCCCCUGACGUGAACACUGGAAUGCUGUGGCACAAGGCAGAGGACCUAGGCCUCGGUACACCUCCUUGCUGUGCUGGACUGUGAGCCAUGAGAUGUGGGCCUCUCGCCCCUGUACCCCACAGGCCGGGCCUCAGCCCUGCUCAGCCUGCCACCUCCCUGGUUGCUGAGCCUGCCACAGCUGUCCCCCACAGGGCUGUGUCAGCUCCCUGUGUCCCUGGGGCCCAGGCUCAGGGUGUCUAGGCUAUAAGUGAGGGCCCUGCCCUGGGGCUGGUUAGCCUCUGGGCCCAUGUACUCCGUGGUUAGUGUGGCUGGCACUGGGUCACUGAGUGACAGAGGCUCUUCUGUCUUCCUGUGGGCUCAACAGAGUCUCAGUGUACCCUGUCCUGCCCCUGUGCAGCGUCCAGGCACCCAGCCAGCAUGAGGCGGGCUCAAGCUGAGCACAGUACCCACCCUAUGGCUGCCUCAGCACUUGACACUUCAUGAGACUGGCCAGCUUGGCCACCAGCAGUCCUGGGAACAGAUGGCAGCUCUGGGACCCAUGGAGCGGCCCUGUGGGCAGGGUGACAUGGCCCUCCCUUGGGGUCCUUCUCAUGCCUGGGCCCUAUUAGCAUCUGUGCCUCAGGGUGGCCAGGGGGUCCCUGAGGGCCCUCAGCUCCUGCUGCAGAACCCUCAAGGCCUGGUGCCCUCCAGCCUGGGCCCUGGGCAUGUGCUCUCUCGCUGUUUGCCCCUCUGAUGUGUCUCCCUGGCAUCCUCUGGGUCCAUUUCAGGUACACUGUCACCAGGUGGUGAGAUGUCUCUGCGCGUCACUUAGUGUAAACGGGCGGUGUUUCCUGUGUCUGGAGUGAUGUGAGGCAGAGAGAAGGCCAUUGGAUGUGGAAGCCACCCAGCACCCGCUGCGCCCAUCGCCCAGUGACCUCUGCCCUCCAGCCCUCUGUCCCCCCAGCUGGGCAGAAUCUGAGGUUCCCACCGGCCCAAAUAGCAGCCCAGCCCUGGUGGACCCCUUCUUCCCACAGCCCCUGCCCAGGCCCUUGGGGAAGAGCCUGUCCCUGUCCUGACCCCCUUUCCUGACCAGGGCUCUUUCUAGUGUAGAUUGGGGACCUGGCCACCCUGCCUUGGGGGCAGUUCUGGGACAAGCUGAUGGAGAGCUCUCGGGGAGGGAGCCAGGAGCCCUGGCAGGGUCAUUCCGUGGCUGCCACUCACUGUCCAGACAGCUUCAGCACCCAGGAAGGAUGUCCCCUUCAGGGACUAGAACCAGGACUGUGCAGCCUGGCCUCUGUCACCGCGAGACUUCCAGAGGAAGCCCAGGGCUAAGGCCAGGUCCCCAGAGCCAGUGGAGACAGCGGGGAGGUGGUGAGUCCUCCCCCGACCCGGGAAGCCUAGGCAGGGGAGGGCCCAGCACCCAGGAGGUGUGGCGAGGAGGGCUCCGUGGAGUCUGCAGGCUUGGGACAGGGACCUUCGUGCUGCACGUCCUGACUGGGCUGCCCUGCCCACUGGCCCUGAGCCACGGCCAGCUGGGGACACGGUGUGCGGCAAGAACAGGGUGUGUGUUUGCUCAGGGUGCCCGGAGCCUGGUGAGGGACAAGGGCCCAUUGUAUCCCAGGCUGCCCUGCCCCACUGGUCUGUCCACCAUGCCCCACCCAUCAACCCUGCUCAGAGACCCCACCCCUGUCUAUAGCUGAGGAUCCCGUGGGGCAGCUGCCCUGCUGGCCUGCUCCAUACACAUUAGGGGUCUGCUGCAGCCCCUUCUCAGGUCCUAUGGGCUGAGCUGAGAAGAGGGCCUGGCCGGGCCCCUUGCUGGAAGGGCCUCAGGGGGCAGGGGUGUGGAUGGUGGCGGGUGAGUGCACUUCCAAGGCCACUCAGAUGCACUGGGAAGUCUAGGGACAGCCCUUCCCCUUCCCCAGCUCUGAGGUGUAUCCCAGGCUCCGAAGGGCCUUGAGGUGGACAGUAGUGCCUAGCUCACCAGUGAGGAAUGGAGGCUGGGGGGUCACCAGGACAGUGAGGACAUGGACACAGCAGGCACACAUGUGUCAUAGCAGAGGAAGGACUGGCCAGGUGUGCAGAACUGGUCUGACCAGAUGCGGGAGGUGUGUGGGGGUGUGUCUGUGGUUGCUCACCUGGAUUUGCGGAGGGGCCCACCAGGAGGCAGGCGGAACAGAGGCCACAGCCUGCGUCAUGGGCAUCACCUGCGGCAGCAUGAUGGGCAGGUGGCCACCGGCGGGGGCAUUCGCUUACUGGGAGUGGCAGGGCAGGUCUGGGUGCUGAGCCUUGGUAGAUAGGCCAGAGGGCGUCUGGCAGGCAGGUGGGCAGGGCCCAAGCAGGCCCUCCACCCGCCCUCACAGGUCAGAGAUGCAUUGAUGGGGACAUGGACAUACCACAGAGGGUGGGAUCAGGCUGGGUUGCCAACAGGCCCCACUAAGAGGCCAGACCUGGCUGGGGCCUGGUCCCUGGGGAGGCCAAGACCCAGCUCCACAGCCCCACCUCUGGCUCCGCCCACCGGCCUCCGUCAGUGACCUCCAGAGCCCUUGAAGUGGCUGAGGCAAGGCCAGUCUGACGGCUACCUGAGGCAGAAGUGGCUUGGCCAGCUCCAUGUUGCCCCUGCCCAGGUCUGACAGAGAGGCUCCAUGCCCAAGAGGCCACUAGUCACCUCUGCCAAGGGUCUCAGAGACAGACUCUCGGCUGCAGUCCCUUAACCCAGCUGGACGGGCUCCUUCUUCCCUUGAAUUGCCCCACUUCCUCCCACCCCAAGCCCCCUGUCCAGGACAGCUCCUCCUGACACUCCUGCCCCAGCAGUGGCCUCACCCUCCUCCCUGAUCGAAAAUCCUUCCCAGAGAGAUGCCAGCCCCACAGUGCCAGGGCCCUGCCCUACCUGCUCACUCCUGGUCCCGGACUGACUCAGGUGUGGCCACCCAAACUGGCUCCCCUGUGGCCACUUUGCCUUCCUGAGCCUCAGUUUCCCCUCUGUAAGUUAGGACCCAGAGGAGGACGGACGGGGCCAGGGCUGGUGGGCAGGUCUGAGGGUAUGGACUUGUGCUCAGCUCUGCUGCGCUGCUCUCCCACUACAACAAGCUAUGGUCCACCCUGAUGCAGGACCACGGAGGGCCCCACCCCUAGACCUGAGCCCAAUCCAACCCGGCACACACCCCUUGGCUUGCCAGCCAGCCCUGAGCAGCAGGGGCUCUCGGCCAGGCUGAGGCUGAGAUGGGGUGGGAAGGAGCAGGUGUUAGGUCCUGUGGGCGAACAGCGUUGGUGGGGGAUCCUGGGAGCUGGUAAGGACAGGUCCUCCCGGGGAGCCCGUGGUCCUCACGUUGGAGGACAGUGGAGGAGACCCAGGGAGCCGGGAAGGGCUGUGAGCAGGGCAGGGACACUUCAGAGACAGCUCCCGAGGCGUGAGGAGUGAGGAGGGCCCCGUGGGGCACAGGACAGUGGACAGGGGUGCGGGCCUGUGGGGACAGGCAGGGCCCGAGGAGCCGUAGGGAUGGUGCAGCAGGCGAUGGCUGAGUGAGCGCCAUUCUGGCUGUCCCUGGGCAGCCUCCGCCCUGGGGUCCCAAAGAAGCUGACUCGUCCACCUGGGAGACACCAGGGCCGGGUCGAAACCCCAAAAUGGUGCGUCCCAGAAACCAAGAGUCAGCGGCUUCCCUCCCACUGCCUCGGGCAAAGUCACCCAGAUAGGGUGUGGCCAAGACCGGGGCACAAAAGGCAGAGAGGAGAGCUGGGGCUGGUGGCCCAUCCCACCGUGCUGGGCCAAGCACCAGUGUGGGUACGGAUGUCCUAGGUUGCAGGAGUUCUGGAGAGACGUGACUGUGAGUGGGCCAGGUGGGCACCUCUGUGCCCGGGGAUGCUGGGCCCGGACCCACCUGCUCAGCUGGAUGGCUCUUUCCCCAAGGGACCAGCCGGAGCAAAAAGCUGGUUCUCUUUCUCUGCGCAGCCCCCAUCUCAAACAGGGGCACCUUCCCAGCAUCACCUGGUGGAUGUGUGCCUGGACUCCUGAGCAGAUGCGGACAGGGGUUGGCAGCAGCGGUCAGUCAGGACUCCAAAGGGCAGAUCACCCCUGCCCCUGGCCCCGGCCCCAUCAGACCCUGAGGGACCCUGUGGUUCUUCUUCUCCUCUUCCUGGCACUGCUCAGUCCUGAACCCAGAAAAUGGGGGGGGGGGUCUUGGAGGAAAGGUGCUUGCUCAGGUGGCAGUGGCCCUGCGGCUGGGUGCGGGGCAGGCUGCCUGCUCAACCCCUAUGCCCUGGUCUACCUGCAGCCCAACCCCCCACCACCUACCCUCUCCCCAAGAGGCUGGUAUCCCAGGAAAACACACCCCCAGCCAGGGACAGCACUAGGCGGGCUGGGAGGGGGAAUAUGCAGAGGGGCAGACAGGACAGGUGUGAGCCAGGUGGGCAGCAGGCUCAACAAAGUUAGCCAGCACUGACCCAGGAGCAAAGGGCAUGGGAACCCCAAACAGCUCACACCUGCAGCACCAUCAGCCCCAGCAGGUCCUUGGAGGGCUCCAGAAGGCAGCGAGGACACAAGCAGGUGUGCUGUGGACAGCCUCGAGCCGUGAGUCCUAUAGGACCCAAGCACCCACCGAGGUCAGAGAAGGCAGAGAAAUGGCAGAGGGUUCUGGGUGGAGAGUGGCCCAGGGCCUGCAGGGAGCUGGGAUGGGGAAGAGUGAAAGUGCGGAAUUCCUACCAUUCUUUCCAUGUCUGGGCAGUGACUCAGCUCUGGGCUUCCUGUGCCUGGCCAGGAAUGCGGGGCCAGGAGACCAGUCUGCACCCCCUCCCCGGCAUGCCAGAGCCCUGCCCUUCUUCCUCGCCAGUGCCACCCACACCCUCACUGCCUGUCCUGCCCAUCUCUUGCCUAACCUGGCUCUCCCGGCCACCAUUUCACAGGGAGAGAGGACUAGACCCUGAAUCUUGUGGAGAGAUCCACACAGGGGGGCCAUGAGGUCCUGCCCCAUCCUUGCUGUGACUCAGAUACCCCACUGAGGUUGUAGGAGAAGAAAACAGAGUGACCUCUGCCUGGGCCUUAGGCUUCCCAUCUGGACAUUGGACAUUUGGCAAGACCCCAGGUGUCCAGCCCUUGGCCACCCAAAUGAGGCCACCCAUCUCCUUUCUGGAAGAGAGGUGGAGUCCAGGGCUGCAAGACUGGAGGCCGUGCCCUACUUACCUGGUGACCCCAAG
rnacentral:lncRNA from 1 species